GCCAAACGGGGGUUUGGGGAAGGGAACUGGCAACUAGACCUAUAUGAGGGUUGAAGCGCGCCGUAUUUUGACCGUGCAAAGGUAGGUAGUCAUUAGUUCUUUAAUUGUGAUCUGGUAUGAAUGGCUUGAGAGACAUGGGCUGUCUUAGGGUGUGGAAAUUGUUGUUGAAUUUUGAGUUUAAGUUAAAAUUUUUAGAUGUUUUUAUGGGACGAGAAGACCCUAUAGAGUUUGACAUUUGAUUGCGUAUAUCUAGUUGUUUGUUUUAAAUUUUUGCGUGUCUUUUGUUUUGUUGGGGGGAUGGGGGGAAUUUAUUUAACUCCCCUUUUUGUGAAGAAAAUAGAUGUAUAUGUAUUUUGACCCAUUUUUUUUGUUUUUUAGAUAAAUGACCUUAGGGAUAACAGCGUUAUCUUCCCUGAGAGUUCUUUUUGGGGGGGGGUUUGCAACCCCGAUGUUGGAUUAAGGAAAAUUUUGGGGGGGGGGCCGAAUUUUUUGGGUCUUUUCGAACCUUUUAAAUU
rnacentral:rRNA from 1 species